AGUAACGCGUGGGUAACCUGCCCUGUACAGGGGGACAACAGUUGGAGACGACUGCUAAUACCGCAUAAGCGCACAGCUUCGCAUGAAGCAGUGUGAAAAACUCCGGUGGUACAGGAUGGACCCGCGUCUGAUUAGAUAGUUGGUGAGGUAACGGCCCACCAAGUCAACGAUCAGUAGCCGGCCUGAGAGGGCGAACGGCCACAUUGGGACUGAGACACGGCCCAA
rnacentral:rRNA from 1 species